UGUAAACAUCCCUGACUGGAAGCU
rnacentral:ncRNA from 4 species